GAUGAACGCUGGCGGCGUGCCUAAUACAUGCAAGUCGAGCGAACAGAUGAGAAGCUUGCUUCUCUGAUGUUAGCGGCGGACGGGUGAGUAACACGUGGGUAACCUACCUAUAAGACUGGGAUAACUCCGGGAAACCGGGGCUAAUACCGGAUAAUAUUUUGAACCGCAUGGUUCAAUAGUGAAAGACGGUUUCGGCUGUCACUUAUAGAUGGACCCGCGCCGUAUUAGCUAGUCGGUAAGGUAACGGCUUACCAAGGCGACGAUACGUAGCCGACCUGAGAGGGUGAUCGGCCACACUGGAACUGAGACACGGUCCAGACUCCUACGGGAGGCAGCAGUAGGGAAUCUUCCGCAAUGGGCGAAAGCCUGACGGAGCAACGCCGCGUGAGUGAUGAAGGUCUUCGGACCGUAAAACUCUGUUGUUAGGGAAGAACAAAUUUGUUAGUAACUGAACAAGUCUUAACGGUACCUAACCAGAAAGCCACGGCUAACUACGUGCCAGCCGCCGCGGUAA
rnacentral:rRNA from 1 species